rnacentral:rRNA from 1 species
GGGUGCGAUCAUACCAGCACCAAUGCACCGGAUCCCAUCAGAACUCCGAAGUUAAGCGUGCUUGGGCGAGAGUAGUACUAGGAUGGGUGACCUCGUGUUGCACUCG